AAAUGUCUAAUCAAAUAGGGCGACAUAAAAUUGCCUUUUAAUAUCUAACCAAAUAGGGCGACACUAAAACAUUCGCCCUCCUUGAUUAAUUUAGAAGACACCUACUGAAGUUUCGCCCUCCUUGCCAUAAAAAUAAGCAGAAUGCUGGCGAAAUCCCCCCUACUCAAUUUUGCCCACAACUAGCAAUCCUUCACCCAAAAUUUUCAUUCGUUUUCCCCCAAAAUCUUUCGCAGAGCUCAAACUAUUGGAUUCAUAGCUCUGCUCAAAUUUCUCUGUCGCGCUCUCCCCUAAAUCUCCAACCAAAACCUUCACAAAUUAUCCAGAAAACCCUAAUUCAAUCGAAAAUUGGUCGAAUUACUCAACUCUUUCGCUGCUCAGUUUGUAAGCUUAAAGAUUUGUUCGAAAAUUGCUCGAUAAAUUAGGUGAUUCCGGGUUGGAUAAUUCAUAAUUGCAACUCUAAGGGCCACUUGGAGGAGCACAUUCUGAUCCUAUUUGGACAUCUCAGCAGAUUAAGACCGCCAUUUUACAAGCUAUGGAGGCUACAAUUUACCAGCAAAAACCUUUGGACAUCAAUGAGAGGGAAUUGGGACUCGAUCACCCUGACACAAUGGAAAGUUAUGGAGAUUUAGCGGUUUUCUAUUACCGCCUUCAGCACACAGAGCUGGCUCUUAAGUAUGUUUUUCUUAUAAUGUAUAGUUUUCUUUCGUUAAACUUUAUAGUAAUACUCUUUCUGUUCAGAGUCUGUGAGAAGACUUGCAUUUUGUCAUCGGAAAUCAUCAUCAUCUGCUCAAUAAUGGACACGCUAAAAGAUUGUCUUUGUGAUUUGGUGAACUAUUAAUUUUAACAGUAAAACCAACAAUUAUGUUUUUGCAUUAGUUUGAUUUUCUGUGACCAGAAAGACCUUAUGAAAAGGUAAUUCUUGUUUUGAUACACAAUGACUUAGUCAUGCUAUUCAUUUCUUUGGUCUGGUUUCCAUACUAAGUUUUAACAGUAAAACCAACAGUUAUGUUUUUGCCUAAGUGGACGACAUGAGAGCUUGAGAUAUCCGUUACUGUCAAGAGGCACAUUAUAAAAUAUUGUUUAUUAGCAGCUAGCUGUAUAACUUCUUUGGCAAACCUGAAUAAAGGUUAUCAUUUUCAUACUUGAUUAACAUGUAAAUGAAGAGACCAUAUGCAUCUCCUUUGGACCGCUGUGUCUCCAGUUCUUGUUUAGUUGUUUCAUCCAGAUUAUGCAAGAUGCUAUCUCCACAACGCUCUGAAGUAUAACCAAAGGUUACUUGGACCAGAUCACAUUCAGGUUCUUUUCUUGUUCAUGUUCCCUAUUUCUAUCUUUUUAUUCCCUAGUAAAAUUAAUGUGGUGUAUUCGGUGUAUUCUGACUUCAUAUUUGUAUGUCUUGUACUCCUUUGAUAUGUUUGUCUUAUAGCUUAUGCACCACUACAACAAUAUCUGUACCACUAAGUUUUUCUCAAAGUAGCACUAACCUAUUAGCUUAAAUGGGAGAGCAUUGUGCAAAUGCACAAAGAUGUGGGUUCGAAUCCCACAUGGGUAAAUGAUUUGAUGUAUUGGCUAACAUUUAAAAAAAAUAGAAAUAUAAAAAGCAAACAAUCAAAGAGGGUGAAAGUAUAUGCAUUUCACAAUUUCAAUCAAAGAGGGCGAAAAAAGCAGUUGUCUUUCAUUUAUUAAUCAAAGAGGGCGAAAAAUAUUGCCCUCUUUGAUGUCAUUCUAUAGGAGGGCGAAAGAUAUUGCCCUCUUUGAUUUCAUUCUAGGAGGGCGAAAAAUAUUGCCCUAUUUGAUUCCAUUCAAAGAGGGCGAAAGUUUUUGUUUGCCCUGCAAAGCUAAUAGGACGAGCCUAACAGGGCGACGGGAGGGCGAUUUAAAAAUCGCCCUGGUAGCCUAAAAGGGCGAGUUUUACAUCAAAGAGGGCGAUUUUUUUCGCCCUCUUUGAUCUUAUAUGUUGUAGUGCUUAUUCAAUCUCCAUUUUGAAUUUGACUUGGUUCACGGACUUGUUUGACUUGGUUCACAGACUGAUUUUAUUUGUAUGAAUAAGGGCUCCAGACUUGAUCUCGUUCAAGAAUGUUGAUGUAGAUAGAACGACACGUCAGUUUUGUAUGCUUGUUAUUCUUCUUCCACCGGUAGUCCGGUAUGAUUUGAUGUCGAUUUGGUGUUGUUGACGAACAAAUUCGAUCUUCUUGAAUAAGGACCUAUGGGCUUGAUAUUCUUCUUCUAGGGAGAGAAUGUGAUGUGACUUGACAGACAGAGUAUUUGAGAGUUUAGGUUUCGCCGUCAUUUUCUCCCCCGACGAAUGAAUUAGAGCACUUUAUUUAUAGAGUUAGGGGACCUCUAGGGUUUUAAAUGUGUUUUGGGCCUUUUAAGUUGGAUUUAACAAUCACUACACCCUUUUUGUUGGGUUUUAACUUUUAACCAUUAAAAUAAAUGAGUUCAACUUAAAUAACUAAAAUGGGCCAAAUUUGGGAACCCAAAUCAAUUAAUUCACCGUCUAAUAAUUACCGAGUCAAUACUUUGACUUUUUGACCCAAUUAAAAUACUCGAUUGGCUUCCCGAUACACGUGACGAGAAGUACAUAACUUUAUCAAACUAAGUCAACAACUGCUAGACAUCAUCUAUUAGCAAAUAACAAAUAUUCCAGGUAUAAUUUGAUUUAUCCUGCAAAAAAGUAAUACUCCCCCCUGUCCCACGUUACUCGUUACUUUAACUUUGUACACAAAUUUAGGUGAUGAGUGGUUGUUUGGUUAUCAAUUGUUAUUUUAUUAAAAAAGUAGUUGAGAUAAGAGUUAGUGGGGUAUUUUUUUAAAUUGAAUGAGAGAGAGUGGAGACCAAAUAUUUUUUAGUGGGAAGAGAGACAAUAUAAUAAUUGUGGAGUUAUUCCUAAUUUAGGAGUGUAACAAUUAAUUUAGGAGUGUAACAAAACUCCUAAGUAAUCUGGGACGAAAGAAAAAAGAAAGUGUAACAAGUAAUGUAAUGCGGGAUGGAGGGAGUAAUUAAUAAAUUAUCAACCUCAAUGAAUAUAUUACAAAUAUUAUUUUCAAUAGCUAACAAAAGGUUGUUGCGGAGAGAAAUUGCUUAUGCAAUACCAAAUUAACAUGGCCUGAGAGUGAAUCAUAGAAUAUAUUUUUUUUGCCUCACAAGAAAUUAUUAUAAACCGGAUCAUCUAGCUACGUACUCCAUAAGACUUUCUAUCUUCCUAUUAAAUUUACAUUGAUCGUGAUUUGAAGCAAAGAAGAAUUUACAUGGUUGACUCUCAUAGAAAGUCAUUAAUAAUAAUUAUCCAACCCUUAAAAUAAAAUUCAAAAAUAAAAGUAGAGCUCCUAAACGUUAUUUCUAGAUCAUUUCCACAUUAGCCAGAUGUGGAUCGGAUGCGUUUACUUUCAUGCAUUACAUUAAUGACAAAUAACAUUGGUACGUACGUAAGUGUGUAAUACUUAUGUUAUAUAAAGGGAAGUAGGAAAGAGCAUAUAUUACUAAUUGAUACGGCAAAAAUGAGUAGUACAAAGAAAUUUGUGGAGGUUAUGUUGCUAAUUACAAUUGCAAUGAUUGUGAUGAUGGCCGGUGGUGCAGCGGCGCAAGAUGGUUGCAAAGGAAUAGGAGAGGAAUGCUCGUUUAAUCCAGAGUGUUGUUCAGGGACAGCUUGCAGUAUAACCAGCUCGCUCAGGGGGUUUUGCCGAUGGUGCCCUUCAGCUGGGGAUUCUUGUGGUUUCUUUGAUCAGUGUUGCCCUGGCUACUCUUGUAACGGCAUCUUUAAUGGUGUAUGUUCUGCAUCUUAAUUUCUUCAUGUUUUAUGAAUUUACUACUUCUACUACGUUAUAAAGUUGUACGACAUCUUUAUGGUGUUUUAUUCACUAUUACGUUAAUAAAUCAUUGGUUACUCCUAUCUUGUCAUGUAGCUUAAUUUGUUUAUGAGUUAAUGAUAUAUAUUUUUAUUU